CAGCAACUGGAAGGUCUUUUGCAUUGAAUGCACAUUAGAACUCUUAACCAAGAACAAAACAUGAGAUUUAAAUCCUGAAUGCUGAGUAUAUUUUUUAUAUUUUAAGUAAAUUGCCAACUGGGUCCUGUUAGAUGCUUUCAGAAGAGGAUUUAGAAAUUACUCACUAAACCAACUCUUUGUAUGUUUAUGAACAACAUACACGUAUUGAAGUGACGGGGACUUGAGUUUCACUAGAAGCUGAAGUUUUCCCCUCGUUCUUUACUUAUAGUUUUUUUUUGUUUUGUUUUUAACAUGGUUGUAGAGCUGAGAACGUAAAACUUAGUAUCACAAUUACAGUAGACAUAUGUGCUGAGCUCUGUAUAGAUCUAGAGAUGGAAGCGUUUGUGUGCAACUUAACCAUGACAAUUAAUAUUAAACCAGGUUCUACACAGGCUAUUUAGAAUUUGAGUGUGAAAGAGGAUGAAGAUUGAAUUUUGUUAAUUUUGGUUUCAGUUUUACAAGAAGUAUGGGAGUUUUACAAGAAGUAAUAUUGGGGAUUACGAGGCUCAAUCCGAACUACUGACGAAUCUACCUUUGGAGGUGGCCGGAGGUUGUUCUUGCCCACCUGGUUGCACCAGAAGUAGGCCCAUCGGUUACUUGGUGUGGCGACGAAAUGUGAACAAUUGAAAGUUUAAACAUAACUAUUUUCAACGAUGCGCAGUGAAGAAGGUCAGAAAGCCACCGACCUUCAAGAGAUGAAAGACACGAGCCAAUAGCUGCGUAUUGGCUGAAAGCCGGCAGAAGAGCGAGUCUCCAGGCUGAGCAACCAAGUGCUGUGCGAACUCCUCCUGAAACAAAAUGACUGCGCAGCGGACGAGUGGCGGGUGGGACAACAGCUUAAAAGUGAUUGGAGACGAGAUCAUAUAUGCAUCUAAAUAUGCUUCCCAGCCCCCACUAUCGGAAAUCACGACAAAAUUAUCAAGCACAAUAAGACUUACUGCCAACAUCCAUACCUGGAGCUUAUUUGCACAAGGAGUGCCCUGAACGCGCCGGGUGACCUCCAACACCAUGCGAGGAUCAAGCUCUACGGCGAUGACCUUACAAACCUCCAACAGCUUCAUUGUUAGAUUUCCUAGAAGAAGCGAAACAUCAGCGUAAGAGACACGGAUGGUAGAGAAGAGGAGUGAGGUCUUUUUGAACAAACUUCGACGCUGGCAUAUGGAAAAUAAACUGAGCACGAGUUCACAAAACCCUUCAUCAGAAGCAUUAUUAGCGGACGUGGUGAGAAUUGCGUUACUUGUUCCAGGACCAAUUUCAAGAACAAUGUCUGUGCUCUUCAGUCCGGCUUCCUGAACAAUGGACUACACAAGAAGUGGAUUCUUCAGAAUAUGCUGGCCUUUACUCUUCUGAAACUGAAUCUCCUGAAACCUCUGGGGAGCGAUCUUCCCUUUGACUUCCUUCCCCCCUGCCAUCGCUGCAUCGUGCCACCACUUUCGAUUACACCCUGGAAAAAUAUGAGAGCAAUUGAGACCAAGUACAGCAGAAACGGACAACCUAAUUAAUUUGAAGGAAGUAUUGUCCCGAAGUGAUUAUCUCGUUCCCGCAAAUCGGUUGGCUUUCUGCAUCUUAUUCGCGUGCUUAUCAUUAAACCAAGGAAUAGUAGUGGUAAUUAGUUAAUCAUCAAGAUAUAUGUGAAUCCAACAACGUUUGGUAAAACACGAGUCUUCAGAGAUAGGUGAAGCUCGGAAUCUUUAAACUGUUUGAUGAAUUUCGCGCUCGUAAAUAAAGAUAGGAUUCUUGAAGCAAA